UCACAUUCGUGCGAUGGCAGUUCCACGUA
rnacentral:sRNA from 1 species